rnacentral:rRNA from 1 species
UACGUAGGGUGCGAGCGUUGUCCGGAAUUACUGGGCGUAAAGAGCUCGUAGGUGGUUUGUCGCGUUGUUCGUGAAAACCUGAGGCUUAACCUUGGGCGUGCGGGCGAUACGGGCAGACUGGAGUACUGCAGGGGAGACUGGAAUUCCUGGUGUAGCGGUGGAAUGCGCAGAUAUCAGGAGGAACACCGGUGGCGAAGGCGGGUCUCUGGGCAGUAACUGACGCUGAGACGCGAAAGCGUGGGAGCGAACAGG